rnacentral:rRNA from 1 species
UACGUAGGGUGCAAGCGUUGUUCGGAAUUACUGGGUGUAAAGCGCGCGUAGGCGGGUCUGAAAGUCGAUUGUGAAAUCCCUAGGCUUAACCUGGGAAUUGCAGUCGAAACUUCAGAUCUUGAAUGUCUGAGAGGAUGGCGGAAUUCCCGGUGUAGUAGUGAAAUACGUAGAUAUCGGGAAGAACACCUGAGGCGAAGGCGGCUAUCUGGCGGUACAUUGACGCUAAGGCGCGAAAGCGUGGGGAGCAAAC